UACGUAGGGGGCUAGCGUUGUCCGGAAUCAUUGGGCGUAAAGAGCGUGUAGGCGGCUUUACAGGUCCGUUGUGAAAACUCGAGGCUCAACCUCGAGACGCCGGUGGAAACCGUAAGGCUAGAGUCCGGAAGAGGAGGAGGUGGAAUUCCGUGGUGUAGCGGUGAAAUGCGCAGAUAUCAGGAGGAACACCCGUGGCGAAAGCGGCUCUCUGGGACGGUACUGACGCUGAGGAGCGAAAGCGUGGGGAGCAAACAGG
rnacentral:rRNA from 1 species